CGCGGGGGCUGCUGGGAGGACGCCGCGGAGACCCCCGGAGGAUGGAGGAGGACUCAGUGGUCUUUGAGGAUGUGGCUGUGGACUUCACCCUGGAGGAAUGCACUUUGCUGGAUUCUGCUUAGAGGAAUCUCAACAUGCAUGUGAUGCUGGAAAUCUGCAGGAUGCUGGCUUCAGUUGGAAAAAAAUGGGAAGACGGUAUCAUUGAAGAUCAUUACAAAGACCAGGAAAGACA